CAAGAUCAAACUAAUAUAUGAAGAAGCAGAAUAACCUUAGUCCUUCUGUUAGAUAAAUAGUCCAUGUGCCCAGGAGGAAAAGAGUGAUAUACAGGUGACAGGAAGACAAAUAAAGACAUCAUGGAAGUAAAACCAGCAAACUCCAGAAUCUAGAACUCUAGAAAACAAGGCGAAUGCUUUCUUCAAUAAGUAAACUGACUUCACUGCCACAUUCAAGACUCUCCUAUCCCUCCUGCCUCUAGUCAUCAUUUUCAGGAGCUUCAACCUCUCUACAACCACUCCCCUAAACACCUGGCCUCAUAGGGCAAAGGAGCAUGAAGCUCGUUCCAUUUGUUAUACCAAGAGUAAUGAAGUCAUCUGUCUGUCUCUGUCCUCUGCUACCAUCUAUGAACAUGUGGCUGGCUAAUCUGUUAGCUUGCGAGAAAGUCAUUCUCUACCCAAAAGCACAAAGAAGACAUCCUUUUGAGAAGAUGAACAUGAACAUUCACUAAGAAUGAGUCCUCUACGCGAUCUCCUGUGUCUGGAAUUUUUAAACACCCUUCCCUUUGAACACCGGCUGCCUGGUUGUGUUGAACUGCAGGUGAACGCUAAUCAUGCUGGCUGGAGUUCUCAGUGUCUGUCUGCAUUUGUCACUGAACAAAAAUAAGUAAAAACAUUCUGGAGUUCUAAAAUCAAAGGUCCUUUCUAUCAUAUGGGCCAAGUUCCGAGACUGUUUCAAGACUCCUUGUGAACAAGACAAAAAGAAAAGUGGCAGCUCAGCUCAGAGCCCUUCCUUAAAAACAACUCUCCAGGGCGCCUGGGUGGCUCAGUGGGUUAAAACCUCUGCCUUCAGCUCAUGUCAU